rnacentral:lncRNA from 1 species
UUCACGGCAUGACACUAACAGAAUAGGGAGUCUCAACCAGUAAGCACAUCCCCAAAGGUAAGAAGAUGGGGGAUUCGUAGCAAUUUAUAUGUACAGUUCAGAUAAUAUCAAAGCGGUAAAAGCAUCAUUUUGCACAUUAAGCCAAUAUGAAAUAAAAUCAGGCAAUAAACAAAGCCAUAUACCACAAUUAUUAACAGCUCAAAUUCUUGAACCCCGAACCAG